ACCAAGAAACCCAAUCAGUUCAGACCCAUCUGUUGCUUAACAACAACAUAUAAACAGUUGACAGGAAUUAUAGCCGAUGCAAUUUACAAACAUCUCUGGUGGCUACAUGGAAAAUGAACAAAGGCUGCAUAAGGAAAAGAUUAGGA